rnacentral:rRNA from 1 species
UUAAUUCGACGCAACGCGCAGUAACCUUACCUGGUCUUGACAUCUCGGGAAUCAUUUGGAAACAUAUGAGUGCCUCGCAAGAGGAGCCCGAUGACAGGUGCUGCAUGGCUGUCGUCAGCUCGUGUCGUGAGAUGUUGGGUUAAGUCCCGCAACGAGCACAACCCUUGUCCUUAGUUGCCAUCAUUAAGUUGGGCACUCUAAAGAGACUGCCGGUGUCAAACCGGAGGAAGGUGGGGAUGACGUCAAGUCCUCAUGGCCUUUAUGACCAGGGCUACACACGUACUACAAUGGCAGGUACAAAGGGCAGCCACUUAGCGAUAAGGAGCGAAUCCCGUAAAACCUGUCUCAGUCCGGAUUGGAGUCUGCAACUCGACUCCAUGAAGUUGGAAUCGCUAGUAAUCGUAGAUCAGCAUGCUGCGGUGAAUACGUUCCCGGGUCUU